rnacentral:rRNA from 1 species
AAUACUACCUAGUGACCGAUAGCGUAUAGUACCGUGAGGGAAAGGUGAAAAGAACCCCGGGAGGGGAGUGAAAUAGAACCUGAAACCCUGCACUUACAAGCUGUGGAAGCACAUUUCUUGUGUGACCGCGUACUUUUUGUAGAACGGGCCAACGAGUUACGUUAAGUAGCCAGGUUAAGCACUUAAGGUGCGGAGCCGUAGCGAAAGCGAGUUUUAACUGAGCGUUCAGUUACUUGACGUAGACCCGAAACCGGGCGACCUACCCAUGAGCAGGAUGAAGCGAAAGUAAAAUUUCGGGGAGGUCCGAACCCACGAGCG